rnacentral:snRNA from 1 species
GGAUAUGAGGAUGAUCUGGCUGCAAAAUCUGUCACUGCAUUGAUUCCCAGGGUUCAUUUGGCUCAUCUGGCUGGCUAGGCGGAUAUCCCCUUCCUCCCUCACCACUCCAUGUCCACAUCUCCUUAAGCUGCAUACUCCGUUGAUGACAACGACUUCCUCCUGUGGUUCUUUGUUUAAGGAUAUAGAAGUAGUUGUGCUGCUAGAACCUCCAAAAAAGCUCUCAAGGCCCAUUUGUAGGAAAAUGUAUGGUAGUCAAGCUUUCGAGACUCCAGACACAUUCAAAUGAGGGGCUGCAUGUGGCAGUCUACCUUUCUUU